rnacentral:rRNA from 1 species
GACGAACGCUGGCGGCGCGCCUAACACAUGCAAGUCGAACGAGCGAGUGAGAGCUUGCUUUCUUGAGCGAGUGGCGAACGGGUGAGUAACGCGUGAGGAACCUGCCUCAAAGAGGGGGACAACAGUUGGAAACGACUGCUAAUACCGCAUAAGCCCACGGUGCCGCAUGGCACCGAGGGAAAAGGAGCAAUCCGCUUUGAGAUGGCCUCGCGUCCGAUUAGCUAGUUGGUGAGGUAACGGCCCACCAAGGCGACGAUCGGUAGCCGGACUGAGAGGUUGAACGGUCACAGUGGGACUGAGACACGGCCCAGACUCCUACGGGAGGGAGCAGUGGGGAAUAGUGCACAAUGGGGGAAACCAUGAUGCAGCGACGCCGCGUGGAGGAAGAAGGUCGUCGGAUUGUAAACUCCUGUUGUUGGGGAAGAUAAUGACGGUACCCAACAAGGAAGUGACGGCUAACUACGUG